rnacentral:rRNA from 6 species
CGACCUGAGCUCAGGCAAGAUU